rnacentral:rRNA from 1 species
GACGAACGCUGGCGGCAUGCCUUACACAUGCAAGUCGAACGGUAACGGGUCCUUCGGGAUGCCGACGAGUGGCGAACGGGUGAGUAAUAUAUCGGAACGUGCCCAGUAGUGGGGGAUAACUGCUCGAAAGAGCAGCUAAUACCGCAUACGACCUGAGGGUGAAAGGGGGGGAUCGCAAGACCUCUCGCUGUUGGAGCGGCCGAUAUCAGAUUAGCUAGUUGGUGGGGUAAAGGCCUACCAAGGCAACGAUCUGUAGUUGGUCUGAGAGGACGACCAGCCACACUGGGACUGAGACACGGCCCAGACUCCUACGGGAGGCAGCAGUGGGGAAUUUUGGACAAUGGGCGCAAGCCUGAUCCAGCAAUGCCGCGUGCAGGAAGAAGGCCUUCGGGUUGUAAACUGCUUUUGUCAGGGAAGAAAUCUUCUGGGCUAAUACCCCGGGAGGAUGACGGUACCUGAAGAAUAAGCACCGGCUAACUACGUGCCAGCAGCCGCGGUAA